GACGUAGGGCGCGAGCGUUGUCCGGAUUUAUUGGGCGUAAAGAGCUCGUAGGCGGCUUGUCGCGUCGUCCGUGAAAACCUGCAGCUCAACUGCAGGCUUGCGGUCGAUACGGGCAGGCUAGAGUUCGGUAGGGGAGACUUGGAAUUCCUGGUGUAGCGGUGAAAAUGCGCAGAUAUCAGGAGGAACACCGGUGGCGAAGGCGGGUCUCUGG
rnacentral:rRNA from 1 species